ensembl:snRNA U1 U1 spliceosomal RNA
AUACUUACCUGGCAGGGGAGAUAGCGUAAUCAAGGUGGCGGUUCACCCAUUGCACUCUGGCUGUGCUGACCCAAGCGAAUUCCCCAAAUGUGGGAAUCUCGACGCUCUCUUUUUCUUUUGGGGCGGUGGUGGCUUAGCGAUUAAGGAAGCUGCCCCAU